AAGGGUUAUGGAGAUAUGGAAGAAGCUUGCAGAAAGGAUGUGGAGCUGCCUUACUGGUUUGAGCUAGAAGUAUGAUGAGAUUGCAAGACUAGAAGGGAUUAAGCGGCCUGAGCUCUUAACAGCCAAAUCUAGCAUGACACCUAAUGAGAGGAAACUUGCAGGUCUCUGUCCGUUAAAUGCCAAGGAAGUAACAAGCAAUCCACUAUAUAGUAUGCAAGGAGAGUGAUGUGUUCAUGGCAUCUCAUGGAGGAAACAUGUGCUGCGCAAUUCAGGGUCACAGAGCUUAUGAAGGACAUACGAAGCUUAUAACACCAAACAAAAGGCAAAUGCUCCCAUACUUUUUGAACAAAACAAUGACUGAGACAGAGUCUGAGAAGAUGAUGAAGAAAUUACACAGACAAUCUCUAGGACAGCCAGGAAAAAGGGUUAGCAAAAGCUGGAAGAGAUGUUACAAAGUAUCCUGUUCCUGAGUGUAUGUGCAUUAAUAAUCAAACCACUCACACUAUUUAAACCUUUUUUUUUUGUUGUCGCACAUACGAUUAUUAUCUUAAAUAAAAGGUAAUAACAUGUUCUUCUUACUACAGUUU